rnacentral:rRNA from 1 species
GAUGAACGCUGGCGGCGUGCCUAAUACAUGCAAGUCGAGCGAACAGACGAGGAGCUUGCUCCUCGCACGUUAGCGGCGCGCGUGUGAGUAACACGUGGAUCCCCUCCCUAUAAGACUGGGAUCACUUCGGGAAACCGGAGCUAAUACCGUAUAAUAUCUUGAACCGCGUGGUGCGUUGGUAAAAGACGGUUUUGGUGUCACUUAUCGCUGGAUCCGCGCCGCAUUAGCUAGUUGUUAAGGUAACGGCUUUCCAAGGCAACGAUGCGUAGCCGACCGGAGAGGGUGAUAGCCCACCUGGGAGGGGAGCCACGGUCCAGACGCCUGCGGGAGGCAGCAGUCGGGAACCUGCGGCAAUGGGGGAAAGCAUGGCGGAGCAACGCGACGUGAGUGAUGAAGGUCUUGGGUUCGGAAAACUCUGUUAUUAGGGAAGAACAAAUGUGUAAGGAACUAUGCACGGCUUGACGGUACCUAAUCAGAAAGCCACGGCUAACUACGUG